CAGUACUGAUUACCAUAAUAGUGACUAUCCGUUUUAUCGUCCUUAAAUAAUCUAUUAUUUCACAAAAUUUCGAUUCUUGGUGCGUCACCGCUAGAAAUGAUAAUAUAACUUUUGCUGGACGAUACAGUUUGUGAUCUGAAACGAAUUCGUGCGGAAUCAGUUUGUGUCUUUACUGGGAUUGCAUCAUUCGCAUUAUUCGAAAACAAAAGUAAAAAAUGGCUGACUCCACAUCGGUGAAAAUUGCGAUCGCGAUAGUUUUCUGGCUGGAAAAUAGCCAAUAAAGCCAAUAAUUAGAUCACAAAGUGCAGAAUUUUCUUAACGGGAAACGAUGAAGCUGAUUCUGGUGGCAGUGGCGAAAGGCGGUUCAGGUAGGAGCACAAACAGCGAAAAGGCGACAGUAAAAAUUCACCCGGAUCUUCAGCCUCCUUUUCAGAAGAAGGAGAACAUCGCAUAUCCCUCAUCAGUUGGAAUAAUGAAAGCUGAAAUACGCUUAGGCCGAUUGAAAACCUUGGAGAGUAACAGCACUGUAGAAGUAACGUGGAACAAUCGUCCCCACAUCGAGCUGAAAUUCCAAACCUUCCAGCGAGCACUUCCCUAAUUACAACAUGUACCGUUCUUACCAGAUACGACGUUGCAGGAGCAGUUCAUCUUACAAGGAACCUGGUGCUGCAUGCUGUCUCCUGGUUUCACCCUUAGGGGAUGUUGUAAACACCAAAAAAAAAAUCGGUACGCGAACACCCAAAAAAGAUUGUGUGCUACACUGUGAUUGCAAACUUUUGAAGCCUCUAACUUCGAAGGAAGGAAACUAGGACCAGCCACUAGCAUAAUGUUCAUCGUGAGCGAGAUAACGAACGCACGGAUUCCGAAAAUUGAUGCUGUUUUCAUACCUUCCAGAGCAAUUGACCAAAAAAUACAUCCAGCAAUAAAUUAAGGAUAAAAGUGACUGGAGAGAAUAAGCCCCAAAUAAGGAUAUGAAGAGAUGCAAGUGCCAGUUUCAAGAAUUAAGCUAGAUAAGCAUAUUUAAAAGAUUCUCCAUUUCUUGAAAAUGUAGUAAAAAUUCCUUUUUAAUACUUUUUGGACUGAUUUAAAAAUUGCUUAAAUUUAAAUUGUUUAAUCGAGCACUCCUUCAAUUUUGAGGCGCGUUUUAUUUCUUAAUUCUUAGGCACUUUUACAAAUUUACACAAAACCAAUAAGAACUUUGUAUGUAAGAAUAAUCUAAAUUCAAGGAUAAUGGAAAUUAAAAGAAGAAAUGCAAAAAGCUCGCUUUCGAACGGUUGGAAAGAUAUUGUAAAAAUUGUAAGAGUGAAUAAAAACUUUUAAUAAAAAAAAUA